rnacentral:rRNA from 1 species
UACGUAGGGUGCGAGCGUUAAUCGGAAUUACUGGGCGUAAAGCGUGCGCAGGCGGUUUUGUAAGCCAGAUGUGAAAUCCCCGGGCUUAACCUGGGAAUGGCGAUGGAGACUGCAAGGCUAGAAUCUGGCAGAGGGGGGUAGAAUUCCACGUGUAGCAGUGAAAUGCGUAGAGAUGUGGAGGAACACCGAUGGCGAAGGCAGCCCCCUGGGCUAAGAUUGACGCUCAUGCACGAAAGCGUGGGGAGCAAACAGG